rnacentral:lncRNA from 1 species
UUGCUGGGAAGUAUGCAGUGUACACCUCUAUCUUGUAUGUUAAUUUGUAUAACUCAAUUGCUCAGGAAUUUCUUUAAAUAGCUACCAGUUUAGAAUUAAGUCAAAAAACAGUAAGAUUAUGAUGAAUGGUAGUCUAUAAGAAAAUAUAAGCAGCUCAAAGAAUAAGUGGAAUAUCCUCACACCACAUCUGAUGCCACAGAGUGCCAAGGGGCAAGCAGCUGGUUGUAGGAUCAGGAAGAACAGGGAGCAAACAGUCCCUCAGCUGCCAAUCUUUGUCAUCUAAGCCAGUGUUACUCCCAUAAUCCACACACACACACGUAUACACCCAAAUCCACAUAUUGUUUGUGCCUUUGCUGUACUCAGGAGGCUUUGACAACCCAGAGCAGAGCAAUCAACAUAAGCUAAGCUAAAUAAAUUAUGGUG